AACAAACUUAAGGAUGCUAACGAGACACCGGAACGUAUCUGCAAAGAAGACGAAGCCAUCGCUUCUCAUUUAAUCUUAAAUUUUAAGAAAAUAAUUACUAUAAUGGUCUUUGGUGUGUACUGGAAGUUAUAUUCAUGCAAAUGAGGAUUGUGAAAACUUUCCGUCCUUGAAUUUAUUGGAUUAACCACAAAAAAAGAAAAAAAUGUAAAGUU